GUCUUGUUGAUUAUAAUUUCAAGUCUGACCUGCCCAGUGAGGAGUUUAACGGCCGCGGUAUUUUGACCGUGCAAAGGUAGCAUAGUCACUAGUUUUUUAAUUGAAAGCUUGAAUGAAAGGUUUGAUGAAAAAGAGACUGUCUCUAUAAAAAUUUAUUAGAAUUUUAUUUUUAAGUCAAAAAGCUUAAAUUUAAAUAGAAGACGAGAAGACCCUAUAGAGUUUAAUAUUUUAUAAUUAAAGAGGUUUGUGGAAUUUAAAAUUUUUUUUAUUUAUAAAAAUAUUUUAUUGGGGUGAUGGAAAAAUUAGAUAAACUUUUUUUAUACAAAUACACUAAUUUGUGAACAAGUGAUCCUAAAAUAUAGAUUAUAAGAUUAAAUUACCUUAGGGAUAACAGCGUAAUUUUUUUUAGAGUUCUUAUCGAAAGAAAAGAUUGCGACCUCGAUGUUGGAUUAAAAUGAAUUGUUGGUGUAGAAGCUAAUGAGUUGGGUCUGUUCGACCUUUUAAAUUUUACAUGAUCUGAGUUUAAACCGGUGUGAG
rnacentral:rRNA from 1 species